rnacentral:rRNA from 1 species
GACGAACGCUGGCGGCGUGCUUAACACAUGCAAGUCGAACGGAAAGGCCCUGCUUUUGUGGGGUGCUCGAGUGGCGAACGGGUGAGUAACACGUGAGUAACCUGCCCUUGACUUUGGGAUAACUUCAGGAAACUGGGGCUACUACCGGAUAGGAGCUCCCGCUGCAUGGUGGGGGUUGGAAAGUUUCGGCGGUUGGGGAUGGACUCGCGGCUUAUCAGCUUGUUGGUUGGGUAGUGGUUUACCAAGGCUUUGACGGGUAGCCGGCCUGGGAGGGUGACCGGCCACAUUGGGACUGAGAUACGGCCCAGACUCCUACGGGAGGCAGCAGUGGGGAAUAUUGCACAAUGGGCGGAAGCCUGAUGCAGCAACGCCGCGUGCGGGAUGACGGCCUUCGGGUUGUAAACCGCUUUCGCCUGUGACGAAGCGUGAGUGACGGUAAUGGGUAAAGAAGCACCGGCUAACUACGUG